ACGCUCGACACCUACAGGAGGCAGCAGUAGGGAAUCUUCCACAAUGGGCGCAAGCCUGAUGGAGCAACACCGCGUGAGUGAAGAAGGGUUUCGGCUCGUAAAGCUCUGUUGUUGGAGAAGAACGUGCGUGAGAGUAACUGUUCACGCAGUGACGGUAUCCAACCAGAAAGUCACGGCUAACUACGUGCUAGCAGCCGCGGUAGUCUGAGCGGGCUGGCAAGGC
rnacentral:rRNA from 1 species